rnacentral:ncRNA from 2 species
CGAUAGACAGAUGGGGAUGGUGUUCCGCAAGGAACUGAAAAGGGAAGCCGGUGCGGUCCUAAACCAACUCCGGCGCUGCCCCCGCAACUGUAGACGGUUUGUGACGUCCCUCUUUCUCCCGUGACGGGAGAACGCCACUGGAAUUUUCCGGGAAGGCGUGGGUGUCCGGGAUAUCUGUCCCGAUCGUGAGUCAGGAGACCUGCCGUCAUAAAUAAUGAAGU